CCGAGAAGCUUUCCGCCCAUAGCUGCUAUUACCAGGCAAUGAAGAUCUUAUUAUUGUUCAUGAUGGUCUUAAGUAUGGGAACUGCCAUCUAUCAUUGGCGAUUCCCAAAUAUGGGAUUUUUGAGAACAUAAAUUCUCUAAAAGAGCUAGCACAAAUGCCUCAAUGGACUGCUGAAAAUCCUCUGCAAGUCGCUACUGGAUUCACCUUCGUAUGAUCUGUGUUUUAUUUUAUUAUUUUAUGAAAAAGUUCAGUUUAUUUUUUAUUUUUGUAACAUUUUCAGUUUUGGCCCUAUCCUUCUGCACGGCUAGGUCCUAAAUUUAUGAAAGAAAAUUGACU